UACGAAGGGGGCUAGCGUUGCUCGGAAUCACUGGGCGUAAAGCGCACGUAGGCGGCUUCUUAAGUCAGGGGUGAAAUCCUGGAGCUCAACUCCAGAACUGCCUUUGAUACUGAGAAGCUUGAGUCCGGGAGAGGUGAGUGGAACUGCGAGUGUAGAGGUGAAAUUCGUAGAUAUUCGGAAGAACACCAGUGGCGAAGGCGGCUCACUGGACUGGUAUUGACGCUGAGGUGCGAAAGCGUGGGGAGCAAACAGG
rnacentral:rRNA from 1 species